rnacentral:rRNA from 1 species
GAUGAACGCUAGCGGCAGGCCUAAUACAUGCAAGUCGAACGAUACCAAGGAGCUUGCUUUUUGGGAAAGUGGCGCACGGGUGCGUAACGCGUAUGCAACCUACCUUAAUCAGGGGGAUAGCCCGAAGAAAUUCGGAUUAACACCGCAUAAAAACACAGUACAGCAUUGUACAAUGUUCAAAUAUUUAUAGGAUUAAGAUG